AGGAUGAACGCUGGCGGCGUGCCUAAUACAUGCAAGUCGAGCGGUAAGGCCCCUUCGGGGGUACACGAGCGGCGGACGGCUGAGUAACACGUAGGAACGUACCCCAAACUGAGGGAUAAGCACCAGAAAUGGUGUCUAAUACCGCAUGUGAUCUUCGGAUUAAAGCUUCGGCGGUUUGGGAACGGCCUGCGCAUGAUUAGCUUGUUGGUGAGGUAAAAGCUCACCAAGGCGACGAUCAUUAGCUGGUCUGAGAGGAUGAUCAGCCAGACUGGGACUGAGAACGGCCCAGACUCCUACGGGAGGCAGCAGUAGGGAAUUUUCCACAAUGGGCGAAAGCCUGAUGGAGCAACGCCGCGUGCAGGACGAAGGCUUUCGGGUCGUAAACUGCUUUUAUAUGUGACGAUUAUGACGGUAGCAUAUGAAUAAGGAUCGGCUAACUCCGUGCUAGCAGCCGC
rnacentral:rRNA from 1 species